CAUUCCUGCUGCCAGCGGUGAAAUACAGGAAUGGCUCCAGUUUCUAGUCGUCCACCUGAACUGAGUCUGCACUGACUAAAUCAGUUUAGUAGUGGAACGAGUCAGCAGAUGACUUAGUCCUCUCCGGAAUAUCGCUGAACGGGGAAGGUCUCCUCUUCGUUAUGUCGGAGCCAUUCCUGUAUUUAGUCGCUAGUGUUUAAUUUGUGGGAUGAAUUGAAUCUUGUGCACUUUUGCGUGCUUUACGCCCCAUAAUAUCCUCCUAGAUUAUAUAGAAGAUGCAUACUGAUGGCAAAGACAUGCAAGAUUAUAUGGAAGAUGCUUCCUGAUUGGGAUGUCAGCAAGCUGCAUGCCUGUCUGUGCCCUGAUGGCAAUCAUACACAUGCUUUCCAGUGAUGAUAAAAGGAACUCCAUCAUAUGUUAUCCUUGGUUGGGACAUUGGAGUAUUGGGAUCUUCAAAAAAUACCUUUUUUCCUCUCAUUUUCUACAUUCUCUGAAAUGAAUGAAACAGGCAUUACAAGUUGAAUAGCCAUGCAGGCAUGCAUGUAUUCAACCAAUCAGUCAGUCAGUUAAUCUGUCUGGCUGUCUGCCUAUAUAGAUCAGUCAGUCAGUCAGUCAGUCAGUUAGUCAUAUCACUCAGUCAAUCAGUCAGUCAGUCAUUUCAGUGCAUUUUUUAAAGCAUGGAACAACCCUUAGUUAAAAAAAAGUGGUUUUACUUUCUGCUUAAGGCUUUCUUCCUUCAACUCUGCUGUCAAAGGGAUAAAAGGAACACUAAAAUGUUACUUAACUUGGUCUCUGUAACAGUUCUGAGUUUGUGUGUGGGUCUGCAAAGAGUGCUCAUCAUUUAUUAUUAAUUUAGGUGGCUGAUUGUUAAUGGACAGUUAUCAAGAUUUAGAUACUUAUGCCCCCAGUGGUCUAAAAUAGGGAAUGCUUUUGGUACUCUGCCUGGAUAUGUGUACAGUGUUGAGAUAAAACUAAUUUUCCUCUUUAAAAACAGGGAAUUUCAAUAUGCAUAUAUUAUUUUGGAGAAGUGUACUAAUUUACAAAUGUCUUGAGUAGGGUAUUGAAUUGUGGGAGUGCUAUCCCUUCUCCCUCCAAGAUAACCACAAAAUCUCAGCUGUAAUGC
rnacentral:lncRNA from 1 species